rnacentral:tRNA from 1 species
GCGAGCAUAGCUCAAUCGGUAGAGCCCCGGCCUUCCAAGUCGGCCAUAAGGGUUCGAACCCCUUUGCUCGCUCCA